rnacentral:rRNA from 1 species
UGGGGAACAUUGGACAAUGGGCGCAAGCCUGAUCCAGCCAUGCCGCGUGAGUGAUGAAGGCCUUAGGGUCGUAAAGCUCUUUCGCCAGGGAUGAUAAUGACAGUACCUGGUAAAGAAACCCCGGCUAACUCCGUGCCAGCAGCCGCGGUAAUACGGAGGGGGUUAGCGUUGUUCGGAAUUACUGGGCGUAAAGCGCGCGUAGGCGGAUCGGAAAGUUGGGGGUGAAAUCCCGGGGCUCAACCCCGGAACUGCCUCCAAAACUAUCGGUCUAGAGUUCGAGAGAGGUGAGUGGAAUUCCGAGUGUAGAGGUGAAAUUCGUAGAUAUUCGGAGGAACACCAGUGGCGAAGGCGGCUCACUGGCUCGAUACUGACGCUGAGGUGCGAAAGUGUGGGGAGCAAACAGGAUUAGAUACCCUGGUAGUCCACACCGUAAACGAUGAAUGCCAGUCGUCGGGCAGUAUACUGUUCGGUGACACACCUAACGGAUUAAGCAUUCCGCCUGGGGAGUACGGUCGCAAGAUUA